AGGCGAUGCCGAAAUUGCAGGAAGAAAUUACUCUAUUUGUGUUUUGUUAGUGCUGUGCUUUUUGUUUCCUGUCCUCGCAAAGGACACUUUUAAGCAUCAACGCGGAUUUCUUCCAUCACAUUCCCCGAGACCGUUUCGCUCGGCGUCUAGUCAGAGGAGGGAAGGGAGAGACUGCAAAAGGAGAAAGUUAUUGAUGUAACAACGGAUUCUGCUUGCGCACAUUCAGGUUUUACUGCAGUAAACAAAUCGCGUGUUCGUGUCUGCCGAUAACAAACAUUCCCGCAUCAUGUUGAAUCACUAAGCACCUGAAGAGAUAGUGGCGAGCGGUUCCUAGUGUUGCCGAGCAAAACCCACACGUGCGGCAAGUUGUGCAAGUUCCAGUCCCUUCAAACCUAAACAAAUGAGAAUGACAUCGUCGACGAAAAUAAUGCUGAUAGCCUGCGGGUCGUUUAGUCCGCCUACUCCGAUGCACUUCCGAAUGUUUGAAAUUGCCCGGGACCACAUUCAGCAGAUGGGCUUGGGGCAGGUGGUUGGCGGGAUAGUGUCGCCGGUGCAUGACUCGUACGCGAAGAAAGGACUCGUGUCGGCCACACACCGGUGUGCCAUGGUAAAGAUCGGAUUGAAGUCAUCGGAAUGGAUCAAUUUGUCCGACUGGGAAACGCAACAGGAAGAGUGGACCCGUACGCGGCAGGUGCUGCAAUACCACCAGAACUUCAUAAAUUCCUACUUGAAAGACGCCAAUGGGACCAUCAACAAUCAGCACAUACCCGCUUGGAUACCGGAAGGCAUCAAGAAAACGGCCGGCCAAGUGCACCUGAAGCUUCUGUGUGGUGCAGACCUGCUGGAAUCGUUUGCCACACCGGGACUAUGGAAAGACGAGGACCUAGAAGCCAUUCUUGGCUAUCACGGCAUUGUGGUGAUUUCCCGAGCAGGUUCCAAUCCGGAGCAGUUCAUUUUCAACUCGGAUCUGCUAAGUCGCUAUCGUCGUAACAUUACGAUCGUUACGAACUGGGUGACCAACGAUGUCAGUUCCACCCUAAUCCGGCGUCUGUUGAGUCGCGGACUGUCGGUAAAGUACCUGCUGGAUGAGCAUGUUACGGAGUACAUAAAAAAAUUUGGCCUGUUCGGUUGCAACAAUGACACUAAGUAUAUUCUAACACCGGGUAGCACAGCGGAGGCAAUGAGCAUUUCGCCAAUAUCGCCAAUCAACGAUCCGGACCUAUACAUUGAGCACCAGAAUCGGAGAAAUCAACUCGGUUCGUCGUGCGAAGCGAUGGAUGAGACGGACUUUCCCUCGCCUCCGGCUCCGGCCACCGGAGUCACCAUAAACAAAGUCUUCUGCUGCGCCAAUGACACCAAAUCGGCGCCUCCGAACAGUAUCAGUUCCAACGGACUGUUUCGCACGGGUCGGCCAGGAAGUGCGGUGCAAAUAAUAACGACUUCAGCGCCUACGCCUGCCCCACCAUCGGUAACAUCGCCGGACGGGACCACAAAACCCGCACAACAUAUUACCUUGGACGAUGGACAAGACCGCAGGAUGAGUGCUAAGAAGGUGGGUGAUAAUGCGGCAGCAGAAAUAUCCCCUCGACCAGCAACCUCGCCGGUUGUGGGCAGGUCUAGUACACGCGCUAAAACCAGCACCAACGAUGACAGUGCGACACGCACGACUUCGAUCAAACGCACAACCCUUCCCAGCACAGUCGCCAGUGUGUCGCCAGCAAACAAGAACACUGCCUCUGCCACGACCAAACCGAGCACCAAAACGACCAACAGUCUAGGGGCUACGUUAUGCACCAGCACCACCGAUCGUCCGAUCGCAUCGCCGACUGCUUCGACUGGGCGAAUCAGUCCGUCGCGUAGCUACGACGAUAUGAUCAAGUUUGUUUUCACCGAACACGGCAUUAAGGUCAUUAGCGAUCGGGAGUAUGUAGUGUAGAGAUCGUACGUGGCUUGGUAUCGGUUGGCCUUCGAGGCAAACGCUAGCAAGUGGUUUGGUUAGACUUCUGAAACGCACAUGCAUUCGCACCGUGAAAAAGAUGAAGAAGUCGGCGUGUCCCGUGUAGAGGAACGGGCCUGAUCGUCAAUUGCGCGCCAUUGAUGGUGUACCUUUUCAGUCCGCUAGCUGAAGCACAAAUCCCAACAAUGCGGGAAAGAGCUGUACCAGGGAUAUUUUAAACUGUUCCUUCAAGUUUGUUUGACUAGCUUGUUAUUAUUUAUUUAUCCUAAAUCUCGAAUGGUGCGUGACUUUGGCUGUAAAUGCUGAACCGAAGACCUUUCUUCGUUGCAAUAAAAGUUAGUCUUGCGGUGAAGGUAGCUUCAUUAUUUUACGGCCACAGCCUUUGCAUAACAAAACGCGAUAUUAGCAGAGGAAUUGUCGAUGCUCGGAAGCUGGUAGGAUAAGGGUUGAAUGUGAU